rnacentral:rRNA from 1 species
UACGUAGGGUGCAAGCGUUGUCCGGAAUUAUUGGGCGUAAAGAGCUCGUAGGCGGUUUGUCGCGUCUGCUGUGAAAUCUCAGGGCUUAACCCUGGGCCUGCAGUGGGUACGGGCAAACUAGAGUGCGGUAGGGGAGAUCGGAAUUCCUGGUGUAGCGGUGAAAUGCGCAGAUAUCAGGAGGAACACCGGUGGCGAAGGCGGAUCUCUGGGCCGUAACUGACGCUGAGGAGCGAAAGCUAGGGUAGCAAACGGG